ACAAACGCUGGCGGUAUGCCUAACACAUGCAAGUCGAACGGACAGAACAGGGAAGCUUUUCGGAGUGGAACUGGAAAGUUAGUGGCGGAUGGGUGAGUAACGCGUGGACAACCUACCUUGUAAAGGGGAAUAACCUCGAGAAAUCGAAGCUAAUACCCCAUAAUAACCUUGCUUCGCAUGAAGUAAGGAGGAAAGGCGGCCUUAGCGCUGUCGAUACAAGAUGGGUCCGCGUCUGAUUAGCUAGUUGGUGAGGUAAAGGCUCACCAAGGCGACGAUCAGUAGCCGGCCUGAGAGGGUGAACGGCCACAUUGGGACUGAGACACGGCCCAAACUCCUACGGGAGGCAGCAGUGGGGAAUCUUCCGCAAAGGGCGAAAGCCUGACGGAGCAAUGCCGCGUGAGUGAAGAAGGCCUUCGGGUUGUAAAACUCUGUCCUUAUCGAAGAGAGAGUGUUGUAGUAACUGACAAUACUAGGACGGUAGAUGAGGAGGAAGCCCCGGCUAACUAUGUG
rnacentral:rRNA from 1 species